UCUCAUGGAUGAGCAAAAAAAAGUGGUUUCUUGAGAUGGAAUCUAUUCAUGGUGAAGAUGCUGUGAG
rnacentral:pre_miRNA from 1 species